AUUUAUUUGAAAUAGAAAUUUGGAAAUAGAAAUCUUUUAUAACAAUAUAACUGUCUUUACUGCCACUUUUCAUCAAUUUAAUGCGUCCUUGAUGAAUAAAAGCGUUAAUUUCUUUAUUUCUUUAUUACCUUAUUGAGUAGUUUCAAAUCAUCAUAUUAGAAUGAUUUCUGAAGAUCAUGUGACACUGAAGACUGGAGUAAUGAUGCUGAAAAUACAGCUGCACAUCACAGAAAUAAAUUACAGUUUAACAUAGAUUCACACAGAAAACAGCUGUUUUACAUUAUAAUAAUAUUUCAUAAUUUUUUCCUGUAUUUUUGAUCAAAUAAAUGCAGACUUGCUGAGCAGAAGAGACAAAAACGUAAAAAAAAAAUCUAAAUGAUUCCAAACUUUUGGCCAGUAGAUGAUUAUUGUUAUUAAAUAAUUUUAGUGCAGUUAGUUUGGACAGCAGUAUAUAAUUUCUGAAUUAAUUCUAAUAGUGAAAAUGACCUCCCCGUCUUCCAUUGUUCGGCCGCACAGACAGUCAGUAUUGAUGUGCGCUCACAUGAGUUUCCAGGAUCAGUCUGUCACAGUCUUCUCUUGUGUUCUCUCUGUUCUGACAGACAGUGACACUAUAUUCGCUCCGGUCUCUCUGCCCCACGGUCCACGAUCUUCUUCAGUGUCCUCGAUGAUGAGUUUCCUCCGGAACGACGAGCCUCCCGUUCCUCCGCCCAUCCCGCCCCGCCGCCGGCCCGAAUCUGCGCCCGCCGAGUCCUCGCCCUCCAAGGUGCCGAACCCAUCCUUACCUUCAGUGUUUUAGAUCUGAGUUUUUAUAUAAAAGCUGCUUUAACAGGCCAUGACUGCCCAGAACCAGCUCAUCUCCAGCCUCUGGACACCAGAAACAUCACACCUCAUGAUAAAAACAUAUUGCAAAUAAUAAUAAUAAUAAUACACUUACAAGUUAGUUGCAUUAUAAAUAAGUUGCAAUACAUAGAAACAUUUUAACUAAACUAAAUCUUAGCAAAUUUGAAAAGGUAAAAAAAAACAUAUCACACAAGUGGGAAAAUCUUUACA
ensembl:lncRNA